CGGUCGUGCUUGUCACGCAUGACCUCGGUGAAGCAAUUUCCCUUUCGGACCGUGUUAUUGUUGUGAGCGCACGUCCCGGCAAAAUUCUUGCUGAUGUUGCGAUCGAUCUUCCCAGGCCCCGUUCUGCUCGUGCGUUGCAAAAAGACCAUCGCUUCCACGAACUCUAUGCAGAAUUGUGGAGCAAGCUUGAGAUUGCUCUGGGAGGAUCGAUAUGAGCCAACUUAUCCGCCCA
rnacentral:misc_RNA from 1 species